rnacentral:lncRNA from 13 species
CAAAAAUUAACCUUGGUUGUCAGAUCCACGAGUCGAAAAUAAAUGAAUUUUUAACUUUUUGAUCGAUUUUCUCAUAAAAUUUACCAGAGCAGACUUUGUUUUGAACGUUCAGUGAGAUUAUGGGUAUCAGACAACUGCGAUGACAAAUCAUACUAUUUUAGUAGACAAUAAUACAUGGAAAAAUACGUACAUAUCAAGAGUUUGCCAAGCAAU